rnacentral:lncRNA from 1 species
UCCCCACCGAGGGCAGACACACCUCCCCCGAGCACCAAGCAGGGGAGAACCUGCUCGCGCCAGAAAGGGCCUUGGAAACUGACCUACGCGGUCACCCGGGCUUCCAGAGCACCCGGGGUGGUGGCCACGACCGCAGGUUUCCCGUCUGCCCGCCCCACGUCGAUGAAACGGCCGUCACCGACUGACUCUGGCUGGCACGCCCAGAGCACUCGCGACCCCGGGGAAAGACACGGUUCGGCGCCGGGAACGGCGCGGUGGGCAAGUCAGUAGCGCACCAGUCCGCGGGGAAGAGCCGCCGCACAAGCAUGCUCGAGUCCGGCUUAUUUGCACCGCCCCUGCUCAGCGCCACAGCCACCGCGGCACGCCCCGCCCCCGGCCCGCCACGCUCCAUUCCUGCCUGGAUCACCUACCACGCCGGCUCCAGGCUUUGGCAGGAGGAGCUAAGCCUCCGCGAUCCUCCCACCACACGCCGACCAGAAAGAAGCGGUGGAUGGUACCUCGCGGACUCAGAGGAGCUGUGGCGGGGGAAGAAGCUCCCCAAGGCAAAGAGUAGAAAUGGAAGCUCUGGAUGGAAAAGGGAUUUGGGAGUAACUGCCAUUCCCGUGUCUGCCUGACCUAAUUGAAAAGCUAACGAGCCUGGCCUCUACGGAUUGAACCACCUGAGCCUCCUUGCCUUCUGGCUUCCAGUUGGGUUCAGAGAAUGAGAGGUGCAAGCAGCAGAGUGUCAACAGGAAGAGAUUGAAUUUGAGGUAGGACACCACCAAAGCAUGGCUUGAUGGGCGGUGUGUAGGUUCACCCAGGAUCCGAACCCAUGAACCCCUGGCCGCUGAAGUGGAGCACACAAACUUAACUACUACACGACUGGGCUGGACCCUUAAGAUGGUAUU